rnacentral:sRNA from 1 species
UUUUUCUUUGUCUAAGUGCUGAUUUUGAUUUGAACUACUGCUCAGCUAAAUAAAUAAAUGCGUUUUCAUUAAUUAAAGUUCUUAUAU